UACAGAGGUCUCAAGCGUUGUUCGGAUUCAUUGGGCGUAAAGGGUGCGUAGGCGGCGCGGUAAGUCGGGUGUGAAAGCUCGGAGCUCAACUCCGAAAAGUCAUUGAAUACUCUGAGGCUAGAGGGUCGGAGGGGAGACUGGAAUUCUCGGUGUAGCAGUGAAAUGCGUAGAUAUCGAGAGGAACACCAGUGGCGAAGGCGAGUCUCUGGACGACUCCUGACACUGAGGCACGAAAGCUAGGGGAGCAAACAGG
rnacentral:rRNA from 1 species